rnacentral:rRNA from 1 species
AUAGGGGAGCCGGAGGGAAACCGAGUCUUAACCGGGCGUUAAGUUGCAGGGUAUAGACCCGAAACCCGGUGAUCUAGCCAUGGGCAGGUUGAAGGUUGGGUAACACUAACUGGAGGACCGAACCGACUAAUGUUGAAAAAUUAGCGGAUGACCUGUGGCUGGGGGUGAAAGGCCAAUCAAACCGGGAGAUAGCUGGUUCUCCCCGAAAGCUAUUUAGGUAGCGCCUCGUGAACUCAUCUCCGGGGGUAGAGCACUGUUUCGGCUAGGGGGCCAUCCCGGCUUACCAACCCGAUGCAAACUGCGAAUACCGGAGAAUGUUAUCACGGGAGACACACGGCGGGUGCUAACGUCCGUCGUGAAGAGGGAAACAACCCAGACCGCCAGCUAAGGUCCCAAAGUCAUGGUUAAGUGGGAAACGAUGUGGGAAGGCCCAGACAGCCAGGAUGUUGGCUUAGAAGCAGCCAUCAUUUAAAGAAAGCGUAAUAGCUCACUGGUCGAGUCGGCCUGCGCGGAAGAUGUAACGGGGCUAAACCAUGCACCGAAGCUGCGGCAGCGACGCUGAUGCGUUGUUGGGUAGGGGAGCGUUCUGUAAGCCUGCGAAGGUGGCCUGUGAGGGUUGCUGGAGGUAUCAGAAGUGCGAAUGCUGACAUAAGUAACGAUAAAGCGGGUGAAAAGCCCGCUCGCCGGAAGACCAAGGGUUCCUGUCCAACGUUAAUCGGGGCAGGGUGAGUCGACCCCUAAGGCGAGGCCGAAAGGCGUAGUCGAUGGGAAACGGGUUAAUAUUCCCGUACUUGGUGUUACUGCGAAGGGGGGACGGAGAAGGCUAUGUUGGCCGGGCGACGGUUGUCCCGGUUUAAGCGUGUAGGUGUGUGUUCCAGGUAAAUCCGGUUCACUUUAACACUGAGGCGUGAUGACGAGGCACUACGGUGCUGAAGCAACAAAUGCCCUGCUUCCAGGAAAAGCCUCUAAGCAUCAGGUAACAUCAAAUCGUACCCCAAACCGACACAGGUGGUCAGGUAGAGAAUACCAAGGCGCUUGAGAGAACUCGGGUGAAGGAACUAGGCAAAAUGGUGCCGUAACUUCGGGAGAAGGCACGCUGACACGUAGGUGAAGUGAUUUACUCAUGGAGCUGAAGUCAGUCGAAGAUACCAGCUGGCUGCAACUGUUUAUUAAAAACACAGCACUGUGCAAACACGAAAGUGGACGUAUACGGUGUGACGCCUGCCCGGUGCCGGAAGGUUAAUUGAUGGGGUCAGCGCAAGCGAAGCUCCUGAUCGAAGCCCCGGUAAACGGCGGCCGUAACUAUAACGGUCCUAAGGUAGCGAAAUUCCUUGUCGGGUAAGUUCCGACCUGCACGAAUGGCGUAAUGAUGGCCAGGCUGUCUCCACCCGAGACUCAGUGAAAUUGAACUCGCUGUGAAGAUGCAGUGUACCCGCGGCAAGACGGAAAGACCCCGUGAACCUUUACUAUAGCUUGACACUGAACAUUGAGCCUUGAUGUGUAGGAUAGGUGGGAGGCUUUGAAGUGUGG